rnacentral:lncRNA from 1 species
GUUCAUUUUGACGAGGGCUCACCUCAGAGGAGUGAAUUUGAGAACACAAGUGGAUUGGCUUGUACAAGGUGAUCCAAUUCCAAUGCACUUGUGUUCUCAGGUCACCCCUUUGUGCCAUCCCCUUUUUCAUCAUAAUCAAGAUAUGAAUCGAACUCUUCAAAGUCUUCUGAUUAUGUGGAAGGAGAAGUAUGUUGUAAUCCAAGUAAGAAAUUUCUCAAUAUUCGAAUCGAAUGUAUCUAUUUUUUUUACAACGUCAUGUUUUAGUUGAUGAUGCCUGCUUGUAGUCGCUUUAAUAUAAAAAAUUACUUGCCAAUUGAUAAUCAUAUUUUACUGCUCGGUUCAAGAAUGGUUCUUUCUCGUAGGAGGGUUUUAGGGUUGUCCAUCUACAAUAAGCUAUGAGCGAAUACGUCUAUUUUGAUUCUAGUCAACUUCUUUUAUCUGAGAUUUAUGGCAUGGUUUAAUUAAAUACAAUUGAGAUUGUAGAAACAUGAACUUGAGAUAUAGUUAUGCGAGAAAAUUUGAUGUUACAUAGCUAACCUAAGCAAUGACCACUCCCUCCUUUGUAUGUUACGAGUAUAAACAAAAAUGCAAGUUCUUUUAUGCUAUAGAGUAAAUAAAAGUUUCCUCUCCGGAUAAAAUUCCGUUUUUCAUUUGUACUCGGUUUCAAUCUUACACAAGGGGUAUCAUCCGUCUUGUUCAGGGAUUCUCAAAGAAGUAGUGCUACAAUUGAAGUUCUAGAGAAAGCAUGCUACAAAAUCGUUAACCACUUCUUUUAGUGCUAAUUGUGUCAAUUCUCGUAUUUAGUUUGGUAGGCAAAAAGGGAGAUUUCUGUCUUUA